AUGGUCUUAGCUUGCUAAGGCCGAUGGCGACCGGCGCACGGGUGAGUAACGCGUAUCCAACCUGCCUUACACUCUUGGACAGCCUUCUGAAAGGAAGAUUAAUACAAGAUGGCAUCAUGAGUCCGCAUGUUCACAUGAUUAAAGGUAUUCCGGUAGACGAUGGGGAUGCGUUCCAUUAGAUAGUAGGCGGGGUAACGGCCCACCAAGCCUUCGAUGGAUAGGGGUUCUGAGAGGAAGGUCCCCACAUUGGUACUGAGACACGGUCCAAACUCC
rnacentral:rRNA from 1 species